GCCACCCCCACCGCCUUCCCGCUGCUGCGCCUUUCUGCAGAAGCCCGCCCUAUUCCUUACACGUCGAAGCACCCCCUUUCACUUCCUGGCAGGAAACUUGUGCCCGCUGAUAAGGCAGGAGACAAUGAAAGGGGGGCCGCUAGACCGGAGGCCCUACAGCCAAAAACAAUCCGCCCUCAAGGAGCUCGACGCCCCUUGGGGACCUAGCCAGUGGCCAGUCUGCUAAAGUGGGACACACCGGGAGCCUUGGGGCUCUGCCUAGCUCACUCCCAGGCCAGAAAAGAUUCUGGGCGGGGAAAGCACCUGCAUCCGCCACAGGAGCCUCAGGGACUAACUCCAGGUCCCCAUUUACGAUUGCACUUUGCAAAGCGCAGCAGGGAGGUGGUUUAAGUGCACAGUGAGGUACACCCGGAGUCCCAGCAAAUGCUCCCGGUCCUGCACUCUCCGUCGGAGAACUGAGAGCCAGAGUCUGCCCCACCCUCGCUCCUGGGUGUCUGCUGGGACAGAAGACCAGGUCUCUACUUUACGUCCCUUCCCCCACCCGGCAUCUUGGGUGCCAUUAGGAGAGGAGUGGGUCCCAGUGCCUUCACAAGAAGCACAAGAGCUUCUUGUGGACACAAGAGCCCAAGAAGCGACCAUUCUGGCUCACUGAGACCAGAGUUAGGAACAGGGAAGGCCUGAAAAGGGCCUGCUCCCCAGGGCGACUAUUUUUAGUCUCCCUCUUCUCUGAGAAACUCCCCCUGCAGGCUUCUCACGCCCCAGGGGCAUGAGGCUGCGCAGCCUGGGCAGAGCAGGAGGGCCCUGAGGAGUCAGGACAAGCAAGCCGGCUGCGAGCCGGGUGCCUGUGCCCUGUGGGGGGAUUUAACACUCAAACCUUCGGGCAGGACAGCAGCUGGGCAACCUCCAGGGCAGCCAGUGGGAACAAAGCCUGAGGGAAUCAAGCAGUGGAAGUGGACACGACAUCUUCAUUGUUCUCUCAAGUCUGGGCCAAGAUGCAUUUUGGGGUGAACACUGCUCUCUACCCUGCAGUGAAGGAAUGUUAGCACACAUUAUCCUCACAUGCCCUGGGAACUGCUUAGACAGGUCGUGUGUGAGAACUAAGUUCUUAGUUCAUGUUCUUUCAAUCACACUUCCCCUCAGAUCAUCAAAAAUGUCCUCCUACAGCUUCUUAAAUGUGAACACUGUUAAGCCUCAUGUGAUCAUAGGUGAGGCUUUGGGAGGUGACUGAUCAUGGAUGUAUACUGCUCAUCAGUGGACCAGUUCUCUGGUGUGUUUAUAGCUAAACAUGGUACUGGGAGGUGAAGCCUGAUUUGGCAGGGGGGGUCACUGAGGGAAUGGCUGGGAACCGUAUGCUUCUCCCAUGAUCCCUCUCUGCUUCUUGCCUGAAAUGCCAUGAGCCUGUCAUACUACCUUGCCUUGCAGCCAGCUGACUAUAGACUGAAACCUCUACAAAUCAUGAGCUAAAAUAAACCUUUUUAACUUUCA